UACAGAGGGCGCAAGCGUUGUCCGGAAUUAUUGGGCGUAAAGAGCUCGUAGGCGGUCUGUUGCGUCUGCUGUGAAAACCCGGGGCUUAACCCCUGGCUUGUAGUGGAUACGGACAGACUAGAGGUAGGUAGGGGAGAAUGGAAUUCCCGGUGUAGCGGUGAAAUGCGCAGAUAUCGGGAGGAACACCGGUGGCGAAGGCG
rnacentral:rRNA from 1 species